rnacentral:rRNA from 1 species
GACAGAGGUGGCAAGCGUUGUUCGGAAUCACUGGGCUUAAAGGGCGAGUAGGCGGUGGAGCAAGUCUGAGGUGGAAUCCUAUGGCUUAACCAUAGAAUUGCCUUAGAAACUGUUUCACUUGAGUCAGUGAGGGGAGGGCGGAAUUCCUGGUGUAGCGGUGAAAUGCGUAGAUAUCAGGAGGAAGGCCUGUGGCGAAGGCGGCCCUCUGGCACUGUACUGACGCUGAGGCGCGAAAGCGUGGGGAG